CCUACGGGAGGCAGCAGUGAGGAAUAUUGGUCAAUGGACGGAAGUCUGAACCAGCCAUGCCGCGUGCAGGAAGACGGCUCUGUGAGUUGUAAACUGCUUUUGUACAGGGGUAAACGUGAAGACGUGUCUUCAGCUGAAAGUACUGUACGAAUAAGGAUCGGCUAACUCCGUGCCAGCAGCCGCGGUAAUACGGAGGAUGCAAGCGUUAUCCGGAUUUAUUGGGUUUAAAGGGGGCGUAGGCGGAUUGAUAAGGUUGCGGUGAAAUGUCCGGGCUUAACUCGGGAACUGCCUCUAAUACUGUUGAUCGAGAGAGUAGAUGCGGUAGGCGGAA
rnacentral:rRNA from 1 species